rnacentral:rRNA from 1 species
GACGAACGCUGGCGGCGUGCUUAACACAUGCAAGUCGAACGGAAAGGCCCUGCUUGCAGGGUACUCGAGUGGCGAACGGGUGAGUAACACGUGGGUGAUCUGCCCUGCACUUCGGGAUAAGCUUGGGAAACUGGGUCUAAUACCGGAUAGGAACCAUCUUUAGUGUGGUGGUUGGAAAGUUUUUUCGGUGUAGGAUGAGCUCGCGGCCUAUCAGCUUGUUGGUGGGGUAAUGGUCUACCAAGGCGGCGACGGGUAGCCGGCCUGAGAGGGUGUACGGCCACAUUGGGACUGAGAUACGGCCCAGACUCCUACGGGAGGCAGCAGUGGGGAAUAUUGCACAAUGGGCGCAAGCCUGAUGCAGCGACGCCGCGUGGGGGAUGAAGGCCUUCGGGUUGUAAACUCCUUUCGCUAGGGACGAAGCUUUUUGUGACGGUACCUAGAUAAGAAGCACCGGCUAACUACGUG